rnacentral:rRNA from 1 species
UACCGAAAAGCUAGUCCGUGCAUUGAAAUAAAAGUUUUAACUAACUAACAUUUAAUAAACUAAAGUAUAAAAGUAAACCAUUUUUCCACUCUAGUAGGUGAGACAGAAAAAGAUACAGGAACAAUAGAAAAAGUACCGCAAGGGAAAGCUGAAAGAGAAAUGAAAGAACCCAGUAAAGUUAAACUAAGCAGAGACUACUACUCGUACCUUUUGCAUCAUGAAUUAGCAAGUCACAUCAAGCGAAAUGCAUUGUAGUUUGAACCCCCGAAACUUGAUGAGCUACUUCAAGACAGCCUAUAAACAGGGCCAACCCGUCUCUGUGGCAAAAGAGUGGGAAGAUCUUCAAGUAGAGGUGACAAACCUAUCGAAUCAAGUUAUAGCUGGUUACUCAUGAAAUGAAUAGAAGUUCAGCCUUUAGCCUCCUAGAGACUAGAAUAUUUUAAUUUUUACCGUCAAUUAAGAAGCCUAAAGAGUUAGUCAAACAGGGUACAGCCUAUUUGACCUAAGAUACAACUUUAUUAGAAGGAUAAGGAUCAUAAUAAAUAAGACCCUGUGCCCAGGUGGGCCUAAGAGCAGCCAUCCAAAGUAAUAGCGUUAAAGCUUAAGCACAUAACCAGUCUGUAAUUCUGAUAUUAAAUCCUAAUCCUCUUUAAUUAAUGAGUCAUUUCAUAACAUGAAAGAGAUCAUGCUAGUAUGAGUAAUAAGAGGCACAAUGAGCCUCUCCAAGCACAAGUGUAAGUCGGAGUGAACUAAUCACCGAUCAUUAACGGACCCAAAAAAAGAGGGUAAACCAAAUUAAUUAGCUAACAGGAAAACUCUGGCAUAUAAAACCGUUGAACCCACACAGGAGUGCUAUAAAUGGAAAGAUAAAUGGGAGAAAAAGGAACUCGGCAAAUGUAAUGAAGCCUCGCCUGUUUACCAAAAACAUAGCCUCUUGUAAACUAAAGAUAAGAGGUACCGCCUGCCCUGUGACAUAACGUUUAACGGCCGCGGUAUUUUGACCGUGCAAAGGUAGCGCAAUCACUUGCCUUUUAAAUGAAGGCCUGUAUGAAUGGCAAGACGAGGGCUCAACUGUCUCUUUCUCCUCAUCAGUGAAAUUGAUCUUCCCGUGCAGAAGCGGGAAUAUUACCAUAAGACGAGAAGACCCUGUGGAGCUUUAGACCUCAGACAGUCCAUAAAAAGGGGGACAAAUAAACACCUCAAACUAAUUGGAAACUGUCCUACUGUCUUUGGUUGGGGCGACCGCGGGGUAACAAAAAACCCCCACGUGGAUUAAGAAUAUAUUCCUAAAUCUAAGAGUUACAACUCUAGGAAACAGAAUUUCUGACCUUAAGUGAUCCGGACUUCCGAUCAACGAACCUAGUUACCCCAGGGAUAACAGCGCAAUCCUCUUUUAGAGUCCAUAUCGACAAGGGGGUUUACGACCUCGAUGUUGGAUCAGGACAUCCUAAUGGUGCAGCCGCUAUUAAGGGUUUGUUUGUUCAACAAUUAAAGUCCUACGUGAUCUGAGUUCAGACCGGAGUAAUCCAGGUCAGUUUCUAUCUAUGAUGUUUCCCCUCCUAGUACGAAAGGACCGGAGGAGUAGGGCCAAUGGUAAAACCACGCCCUAAUCUUACCUUAUGAAACAAACUAAAAAAGAUAAGAGAUUACACGAGAUAAUCAUAGACUAUGAUGU